rnacentral:misc_RNA from 1 species
CAUCAAUUCUAUGUAUUACAAUGUGAAAUGUCAAAUAUUAAUCAAUUUUUUAAUGCAAUAAAUUUCCAACACGAUAUGAGGAAAAUUCUGAGAAAAAUAAUAAAUCACACCCUUUUCCCGCUAGGCUACAUCCUUUCAGUCAAGCAUAAGCAUCUGGUUGAAGAGAGAUUUUGGAGUAAUAUGUAAAGAAUUUACCAUGCUUUACAGAAGGAAGAUCCCAUAGCAGCAGACAAAUUGAUGUCAUUUAACAGCAUACAAGCCAUCACAACUUGACCAGCAGCCUACUGCUGCGGACCAGACUGCAUCCAUGAAGUCAGCAGUAACUGUUAACAUAAGGAAUUCUUGUUUUGCUGCAAAUUUUGAAGACCAAAAUACUUGUGGCAAAGUCAUGUUAACUACAGGUUAAAGAAAAGCUGUUGCAGCGACAAUCCAAAUCACACGGUUUGCUGCAACACAAAUGCGUAUAGAUUACAAUUACAAGCCGACGAUUUGGUGUAGCAUCACCCAUACCAAAAGAGGAGAAAAAAUUACUAGUUUAUUCAAGUUUGUUGCAACUAUACAAUUGUUUCUGUUUGGCCUUCAACUCUAAAUGCUAAUAUUUUGGCAGAAGAGGACCUAUUCCAACUUUGUACUUGGAGAUACGGAUUCCAGUUCUUGCACAUCCGUAGGAAAUAAUUUUAGAAUUCCCUUCUCUUUUGUCUCAAUUCAUUGAGCUCCAUCUCAAUCUCAGGAUCUCGAAUCCCGCUACUGACAACUGUUCUUCCAGGCGGUAGUUCUCCUCUCUUUUUGCUACCGGAAAUUUCUUUCUUCAGGUUCUCAAGAUCAUCAUCAACUGAUGAGCUCUCAAGUAGUGCAAACUGCAAAUCAGAUGAUAAGUAAAUAAAUGGUAUGUGUUAAACCUGAAACUUUUCAAUAAGAAAUCAUCACUGCUAGUUCAAGCAUGCUGUUUGAUAUAGGAUAGCCCUUAUGAUAUUCAAGUUUUGAAGGUUUAACUGGGUAUUAGGGUUAGAGCUUGCAAUGAUGUUCACAUAUUAAGUUAAAUAGCUGCUUUAAUAUUGGGUACAAAGCAAGGGCCACAAAUUGGCAUGCACAAGAAGAAAACCAGCCAACAAGCCUACAGCAACAUUUUUAAAUUUGAAGAUUUUCAAUAAUAUUCCAUUCCUCCAAAAGGAAAUAAUAAAAUAAAUAUAAAAAAAGAAAUAUCAAAUGUUGCCCUUGAAAAAUUAAAUACCCACGCUUAUCCUAUACAACAGUGGCAUAAAGAAAUACCACUCUGGGAUCAUUCUUUUUGGAUUCAAAGGAAAUGGGCGAAAGAACCAAGAGUCAAACCUGAGUACUUGACUGCCUAAACUGCAAAGCAGAUAUUAUUUUCCUAAUAACAUAAAUCUAUUUUUGUUCUUAAAAAAAAAAGAAAAUUCCUAAUAAUCAGUCCAAUAAACUUACACACGUUUUCUCAUCUAGAACUAGAAGUAACAACUCAUCAACCGCCAAUUCUGCACGAAACGCAUAAUCUGAACGGUACCGACGUUGGAACCUGUACAAAGUUUUUAUCCAAUCAAAAUCCCCCAAGUGUAUCAACAUGUACUUUUCGCAUUGGCUGGAACAGAAGAGAAAAUUGAGUCAUUUGGUAACGCGCCUCUUCACGAUUCUAUCGCCACAAAAAGUCUUCACCAUUAAAUAGUUCUCUCAGAGCUUCCACCGUUAAUUUCGCUUUUCUAUUUCCUUCAUCAAUUUAGCUUCUUCUCUCGUUUGCUUUUCCUCUUCAAUUUUCCCCAAAUUAUCCAGUCUUUCAAAUAAUUCUUUCUUCUGCUGAUCGAAUCAGAGCUGUUGGUUCGAUCUCUGGCUAUUGAUAACCUUAUGCCGCCGGAGAUCGAACAAGUCGCCGAGAAUGCCUUAUUCGGCAAAUAUGAGCUCGGCAAGCUUCUCGGAUGCGGUGCGUUUGCCAAGGUUUACCACGCAAGAAAUCUCCGAACUGGGCAAAGCGUAGCCAUUAAAAUCAUCAACAAGAAGAAAAUCGCUAACCCUACAUUAAUGUCUAAUAUCAAGCGCGAGAUCUCCAUUAUGCGCAGGCUUAACCAUCCUCACAUCGUCAAGCUCUAUGAGGUUUUAGCCUCCAAGACCAAGAUUUAUUUUGUUAUGGAGUUUGUCAAAGGUGGAGAGUUGUUUGCCAAAGUCGCUAAAGGACGCUUCAGUGAGGAUCUCAGCCGUAAAUAUUUUCAGCAGUUGAUCUCCGCCGUCGGUUAUUGCCACGCUCGCGGCGUCUUUCAUCGAGAUUUGAAGCCUGAAAAUCUUCUCCUCGACGAAAAUGGGAAUUUGAAGGUUUCGGAUUUCGGACUCAGUGCUGUAACUGAUCAGAUCCCACCCGAUGGACUUUUGCAUACUCUUUGUGGGACUCCGGCAUAUGUUGCGCCUGAGAUUUUAGCGAAGAAAGGUUAUGAUGGUGCUAAGGUGGAUGUAUGGUCAUGCGGUGUCAUUUUGUUUGUUUUAACGGCCGGUUAUUUGCCGUUUAACGAUCCGAAUCUCAUGGUCAUGUAUAAGAAAAUCUACAAGGGCGAAUUUCGGUGUCCGAAAUGGAUGUCUCAGGAUCUGAAACGGUUGUUAUCUCGGCUUCUCGACACGAAUCCCCAGACGAGAAUAACGGUCGAUGAGAUCUUGAGAGACCCAUGGUUUAGGAGAGGAGGAUUCAAGGAAAUCAAGUUCUACGAUGAGUAUUAUUGCGGACUUGACGAUACCGAUAAGGCCGAUAAACAAGAACCGGAUAUCACGAAUUUGAACGCAUUCGACAUCAUUUCGUUCUCGUCCGGUUUGGAUUUGUCCGGGUUGUUCGAUGACUCGUACAACGCGGUGGAGGACGGCGAGCGGUUCGUGUCUUCUGAGUCACCAGAAAAAUUGGUCCAGAAAAUCGAGGAGUUUGCCAAGGCCGAGAGGCUGAGGACUAAGAGAAAGAAAGAGUGGGCCUUCGAGAUUGAAGGGCGAAAUGGUAAUUUGGCUCUGGAGGUUGAAGUUUACCGGUUAACGGACGAUCUGGUAGUUGUGGAGGCUAGAAGGAGAGGUGGUGAAGCUGGAUGCUUUAAACAGAUGUGGAAGUACAAGCUUAAGCCUGAACUCAGUGGCUUAACUGUUAGUCAACCGGAAAGUCAGGUCGUCGGUAACUGAAAAACGUAG